UCGGACGGGUGAGUAACGCGUGAGAAUCGGCCCUCAGGUUGGGGACAACCAUUGGAAACGGUGGCUAAUACCGAAUAAGCCGAAAGGUGAAAGAUUAAUCGCCUGAGGAUGAGCUCGCGUCUGAUUAGCUAGUUGGUGGUGUAAAGGCUUACCAAGGCUCCGAUCAGUAACUGGUCUGAGAGGAUGACCAGUCACACUGGGACUGAGACACGGCCCAGACUCCUACGGGAGGCAGCAGUGGGGAAUUUUCCGCAAUGGGCGAAAGCCUGACGGAGCAAUACCGCGUGAGGGAGGAAGGCUCUUGGGUUGUAAACCUCUUUUCUCAGGGAAGAACAAUGACGGUACCUGAGGAAUCAGCAUCGGCUAACUCCGUGCCAGCAGCCGCGGUAAUACGGAGGAUGCAAGCGUUAUCCGGAAUUAUUGGGCGUAAAGCGUCUGUAGGUGGAUAUUCAAGUCUGCUGUCAAAGACCGGGGCUUAACCCUGGAAAGGCAGUGGAAACUGAAGAUCUAGAGUGCGGUAGGGGCAGAGGGAAUUCCCAGUGUAGCGGUGAAAUGCGUAGAGAUUGGGAAGAACACCGGUGGCGAAAGCGCUCUGCUGGGCCUGCACUGACACUAAGGGACGAAAGCUAGGGGAGCGAAUGGGAUUAGAUACCCCAGUAGUC
rnacentral:rRNA from 1 species